UGGUCUUAGCUUGCUAAGGCCGAUGGCGACCGGCGCACGGGUGAGUAACACGUAUCCAACCUGCCGUCUACUCUUGGACAGCCUUCUGAAAGGAAGAUUAAUACAAGAUGGCAUCAUGAGUCCGCAUGUUCACAUGAUUAAAGGUAUUCCGGUAGACGAUGGGGAUGCGUUCCAUUAGAUAGUAGGCGGGGUAACGGCCCACCAAGACUACGAUGGAUAGGGGUUCUGAGAGGAAGGUCCCCACAUUGGUACUGAAACACGGAUCAAACUCC
rnacentral:rRNA from 1 species